GAUGAACGCUGGCGGCGUGCCUAAUACAUGCAAGUCGAGCGAACAGACGAGAGUGCUUGCACUCUCUGACGUUAGCGGCGGCCGGGUGGGUAACACGUGGGUAACCUACCUAUAAGACUGGGAUAACUUCGGGAAACCGGAGCUAAUACCGGAUAAUAUUUAGCUUCGCAUGAAGCAAUAGUGAAAGACGGUUCUGCUGUCACUUAUAGAUGGACCCGCGGUGUAUUAGCUAGUUGGUGAGGUAACGGCUCACCAAGGCAACGAUACAUAGCCGACCUGAGAGGGUGAUCGGCCACACUGGGACUGAGACACGGCCCAGACUCCUACGGGAGGCAGCAGUAGGGAAUCUUCCGCAAUGGACGAAAGUCUGACGGAGCAAUGCCGCGUGAGUGAAGAAGGUUUUCGGAUCGUAAAACUCUGUUGUAAGGGAAGAACAAGUACGUUAGUAACUGAACGUACCUUGACGGUACCUUACCAGAAAGCCACGGCUAACUACGUG
rnacentral:rRNA from 1 species